AAACUACGAAAGGAAUUGACGGGGCCCGCACAAGCAGUGGAGUAUGUGGUUUAAUUCGAAGCAACGCGAAGAACCUUACCAGGUCUUGACAUCCGACUAACGAAGUAGAGAUACAUUAGGUGCCCUUCGGGGAAAGUCGAGACAGGUGGUGCAUGGUUGUCGUCAGCUCGUGUCGUGAGAUGUUGGGUUAAGUCCCGUAACGAGCGCAACCCUUGUCCUUAGUUACCAGCACGUAAUGGUGGGCACUCUAAGGAGACUGCCGGUGACAAACCGGAGGAAGGUGGGGAUGACGUCAAGUCAUCAUGGCCCUUACGGCCAGGGCUACACACGUGCUACAAUGGUCGGUACAGAGGGUUGCCAAGCCGCGAGGUGGAGCUAAUCUCACAAACCGAUCGUAGUCCGGAUCGCAGUCUGCAACUCGACUGCGUGAAGUCGGAAUCGCUAGUAAUCGUGAAUCAGAAUGUCACGGUGAAUACGUUCCCGGGCCUU
rnacentral:rRNA from 1 species